rnacentral:tRNA from 1 species
GCUGGGGUGGCAGAGUAGGCAAUAAUGCGAGGGGCCUAAGACCCUUAGACAAGGGUUCAAAUCCCUUCCCCAACU